UGAAGUCUAUUCUUUGAGGUGCAGGGAGCCAGUGCAGAGACCUGAGCACAGGACUAAUGUGAUUGUAACCCUGUUUAAGUUUAGAUGUUCACUCAUACAUCUUAUGUACAGUACCCUUACUCAGACACUAGGGGGAGACACCCUUUUUGAAAGACGUUUCCUAAAGUUCAAGGAAGGAGGAAGCUUCUUCUCAUUGUUUUUCUUUGAUCUGCGACGACACUGCUAGAUGACGAGACAUCGUGCUCCUUGAAAAAAUCAUAUGCAGCUUGGCAGUGAUCCAGACACUGGAAAAUCGGUUUAAGGAUUCAAGACAGAGUGUGUUUGAAUGAAAAGAUAUCUUGGUGAGUUGAAAGUUGUUUUCAGUUGAUGUUGAAUAAGCUGGCCGAGUUAGCAAGCUUACAAGCUAGCAAGCUAGCGUGCGUACACGGAGCCAAGUAGAGAAAUGUUUAUUUUAUGUUCUGUGUUUACUUUAAUGAGAAUUUCUAUUUAACAAAAAAGCACAAUUGCCUUGUUAAUGUUGAGGAGUAGGAAUGUGCAAGAUAUUAUUUUUGAGGAUACUGCAAGAAGAAAAACUUGAGUUGGCUAACUACCUUACACAUGUGUGAAGGCUGGUUUUUUCCAUGUGCUUCAAGGAGUGGACCGCAUUCCUCCGGAUCUACGCAGAAUUCACACUUUUGCUGUGGCUCCACCUGAACUCAAGCUCACCUGAUUUACCCAGACUCACAGCUUCGAAACCAAAGGAGUGGUAAAGCUUAAUUUCCCGUCUCAGGACGUGCAAGUAUUAUUUUUUCAAUUUUUCUAAGUGCACUUCUUAUUCCCCCCCGCUCCAUUACUGGAGUCUUUUUCAGUUUUUUCUACUUUUUCUUCUGAGAUCUCAGAAUUUAAGGACUUUACUCCAUACAAGGUAUUUGUAUUCAGUUACCAUUUCAGGUAUUGUUGGAUCCAACGGUGAUUUAUUAAGAAAUACUGAAUAUUAUUCUAUGUUGUGAUUGAUUAAUUUUUCGGUUCUUUCAUUGUCUUAUUUCUUUUUCCACACCACACCCAUAAUUUAUUUUUUGUUCUCAAUUUAUAUGUUGAUGUCAACAUUUUAUUUCCUUGAAAGAAUGUGUACUGAAUAACUUGAAAAAAGUCUGAAUAUAGAAUAUUUUUCCUUUAUACAAUUUGAUCUGUGUCAAGUGUGUUAUUGUGGGUCGGAAGGGUAAUUAGUAUCUACUACCGCAUUCCUCCUCCACAAACCUUGAGUAUAAAGAAAGAAGUUCACCGUGCGAGCUUAGUUGACCUCCCACCUAGGGUUAUCCAGGUAGGCAGGGUUACAUAAAAGUGUCGAGCCAGCCAGGAGGAAUGCAAUAGCUAGUUGCUUCACCUACCCACAAUUCACUCUUUUCUCUGUUUCAAGAAGUAGACAGAUAAUGGAUCUGUGUGAUCGUUUUAGCGUGGAUGGGCAGAAAACCCUCUUAGUCACUGGCAUUGAAGACAUUUACACUGAUGAGGAAGUUGAACAAGUGUUUUCUGUCAAUGGCAAUAUUUCUUGUGUUGUCAGGAUCCCAGAUGAGGAGAACGGGGUGCGGGGAAGAGUCUUGAUAGAAUAUUCAACUGACAGCGCCAUCACCAAGAUUGAUCCAAUAGUUUUGGGAUUAUGAGCUCCUCCCACUCCUACCGGGGAAGAAUCGCCUCACCUGUUUCCAGUCUCCUCGUCAACCUUCAGCCUAUUUAUGGACUCCUCACUUUCCAGCCGAUGCCAGUCCGUCUGCUCUCAGCGACAUUGCCUCCAGCAUCCUCCACACCUUUGGUCUCAUCUGCCGUCCAGGAUCCAGCCGUCUAAGCCAGAACUUCCCCCUACCACUGGGACUGAUUAAAAACUCUUUCUCACCAACCAUCUCUGUUCUGUCCUGCUUCUGGGUCCAGCCUCAUGAACUCUAACAGAACGGACUGACCAUUAUGGACCCAGCAGGCACAGACCCCAUUAAUCAGACUCUGUCUACCCAUGCCUCCACCCUGGACCGACAAGGACAGAUGAUCGACGCUCUGUCAAACAAUCAACAGACCAUCUCGCAGCAACUAGCACAACUCCAAUCUCUGCUUCAGACCAUCGCAGACGCGACGCACUUACCUUUGGCUUCAGCUGCUCCUCCUCCUCAGCCGCCUCCUGUGAGUUCCUCGCCCAUACAUGA